AUUAUUCCAUAUGUGUUAUUUCAUAGUUUUAUUGUCUUCACUGUUAUUCUACAAUGUGGAAAAAAGUACAAAUAAAGAAAUCCUUGAAUGAGGUGUCCAAACAUUUGACUGGUACUGUAUAUUGUUUGGUCCUAGCCUUAUUUAUUUGUUUACUGAUGGUCAAAGUUUGAGUCCUUUUUUUGAUUUGAAUGUUCUCUUGUUGCCUUUUCUCCAGAGCCCCACAGUGGUGUCAAAAUACUCGUAAAGCCUAGUGGUCAAACAGGGAAAUUGUUUCAAUUAUUUUUUCACAUGGGAUUUUUAGAAACACUUAAAUAUAAGGGCUGUGUUUCAUGUAGUCUUACCCUGGCGUGACGUUUGGAUAACCAUAUAAAUCUCAAUCCGACAAGGUGACUUAGCAAUAUAUUCGACUCUAUUUACUCUGAAUCGAAAAUGCAAAUUAGCAUAAAAGUAGACAUCAGGCAGAACUACAAAUCCCUGCUGACACCUUUGCUAACAGGUAUUGUGUCAAUUUAAAUCUUGCACAAGACAAUAUACAGAAUUAUCCAUUUAAAGCAAAGUUGCCAAUUUGUUCAUUACACCAUUUAGUUAACAUUGGAUAGUUAAUCCAGGGCUUUUUACCUUUGCCUCAUUUUGGCAAUUCUGCAUGUUUACUUUUAUGCUAAUGAGCAUUUUCUAAUCAGAGUAAAUGGAGCUGACUGUUGAUAAAAGUCACCUUGUCGGAGACCGAUUUACAUGGUUAUCAAAACGUCAUGCCAAGGUAAGCCUACAUGAAACACAGCCCUUAUGUUCAGUGUUUCUAAAAUUUAAUAGAAAAAAUGAAUGGUUGGGAAACGAUUGGAACCAUUUCCUCGUUUGACCACUAGGUUUUAUGGGUAUUACGACACAUACUGUGGUACUCUAUUGCCUGUAUAGCCAAAGGCUUUCACCUUCGAGUGAAGCCUGGGAGCUGAGGGUGGUGGUGGAGGGGGGCUUGGUGUUGUCACUCCAGGAGCUUCUUUCCUCAGUGUGGGAAUUCUGUCUGCUGCCAUUUUUGUUUCAGUUAUUACUCAAAAGUACUUAUUCAGAUGGGACUUAAACUUUAACCAAUCCAGUCAGAGGAAAGCCCUCUCAAUGAGAAGAGUUCAAAGGCAUUUUCAUGAUGAUGAUUCAACAAUCAUUUUCGCAAAACAAACUGUAAUGCCAUGUAAAUGGGAUUUUAGUAGUUUUUCUCCUAUUGCUACUAUGUCAUUGCCUUGUUCUUGAAUUGGUGUGAGUCCUUCCUUCCUUGCUUGUAAAAACAGUUGAUAAUUUGACUUGUAAAAUGGACUCUGCUGUCAUACUCCAAAAGGUAGAUUGGUCAAUGCGUGCCUACUCUGACAAUCCCGGAUAGUGUUCCUUCAUGUAUGUACAUAAAGUGUGUGUGUGUGUGUGUGUGUGUGUGUGUGUGUGUAAGAUAGGGAUCCUUCAUGUAUGUACAGUGUGUGUAUACAUAUACCACAGGCCCCUGGCCCACUCCUAACACCCCUUCAAACUGAGCAAAGGUGUGUAUGUGCACCCCUCAAAGCGGUUAUACCCCAACUUGGGAGAGGGGUAACCUAACAGACGCCUAGAAGAGAUCUCAUGGCUUUUUUUUUUUUUUACAAGCACUCUCUGUGCUAUCCAGACUGCAUUAAAUACUGUUGAGUCGUUCUACUGUUGCUUACUGUUAUUUCUGUCUGUCAAAAGCUUUCAUCAAGUCAAAAUGAAAUGAUAACUUUAACAAUGACUAUAACAUGAUUUAAGAUGAUGAUAAAAAUGUUUUGUAAUAUGUGUUUAAAUUUCCGGAGGUCCUUUGCUUUCAUCUCUGAUUAUGCCAUGUACUUGAGAUGUAACCGAAUAACGUAUUUCCCUGGUUUAGGUUUUUGUUCUGUACAGAUGAAGUUGGACAAUUUGUUAAUAAAGACUGCAGGUUUUUA